rnacentral:rRNA from 1 species
GAUGAACGCUGGCGGCGUGCUUAACACAUGCAAGUCGAACGGUGAAGGCGGAGCUUGCUCUGCUGGAUCAGUGGCGAACGGGUGAGUAACACGUGAGCAAUCUGCCCCUGACUCUGGGAUAAGCGCUGGAAACGGCGUCUAAUACUGGAUACGAGCUGCGAAGGCAUCUUCAGCAGCUGGAAAGAACUUCGGUCAGGGAUGAGCUCGCGGCCUAUCAGCUUGUUGGUGAGGUAACGGCUCACCAAGGCGUCGACGGGUAGCCGGCCUGAGAGGGUGACCGGCCACACUGGGACUGAGACACGGCCCAGACGCCUACGGGAGGCAGCAGUGGGGAAUAUUGCACAAUGGGCGAAAGCCUGAUGCAGCAACGCCGCGUGAGGGACGACGGCCUUCGGGUUGUAAACCUCUUUUAGCAGGGAAGAAGCGAAAGUGACGGUACCUGCAGAAAAAGCGCCGGCUAACUACGU